CGGGCGCGCGCUUCCGGCCGCCGGGCUGCGCGGGAGUCGCCGGGAUGGCCCUGCCUGCCGCGGGCGACUUCCGGGAACGAAGGCGGAGCCCGGUGAAGGUCGCUUAUUAAAAUGAUAGCAAAAAAAUUUAAAAAGACAAAUCUACAAGGACAUACUUGAGUCCACAGAAGAAACAAAGCCAAGAGAUCAACUGACAAAAUUUUGGAAGCUGUAAAUCAGAUUGUUAUUGAUCUGAGGAGAUGGAAUAUCUGUCGCCUGCACUGAGGGAAGCCAAGAAGCAAGUUCAUCUAUUCCGGUGAGUCUGGCAGAGCCUGGCCAGUUACAGUUACUAGCCCCACCUCUGAGCUCUGAGGACACAGCAGGACUGACUGAAAACCUGAGAGGUUGCACUAUUCAUCCCCUCCAUCACCAGUGUAUUCAGGUGACUACCUCACCUCCAACAUGGCAGAAGACUAGAGAACUUUCAUUACAGAGGAUCUGAACCAGAAGGCCUCUGGAUCUGAGAACACCUGACAGGUGAGACUGGGCUGCAGUAAUAAAGAUGAAAUUAUAUGAAGUUCACAUACUAAUAGUAGGACUCUAACCCCUUUUCUCCAGUUAGCCACAAGAAUGUUGGCCACUGUGCUUAUACCAUGCUCCCCUACAGCCACCACUCUCCCUGCCCCACCCCCCAACCCUGGGCAAGAAAUGAAAAGAUUCCUCUCUGGGUAAACUGACCAGCCCAGGAGAAAAUACCUCAGUUAUUGAAAAUGGGUGGUCCCCAACAAAACUGGGUCCCAGGCUUCCCUGGUGGCGCAAUGGUUAAGAAUCCGCCUGCCAAUGCAGGGGACACGGGUUCAAGCCCUGAUCCAGGAAGAUCCCACAUGCCGUGGAGCAACUAAGCCCGUGCGCCACAACUACUGAGUCUGUGCUCUAGAGCCCACUAGCCACAACUACUGAAGCCUGCACGCCUAGAGCCCGUGCUCCGCAACAAGAGAAGCCACUGCAAUGAGAAGCCCAUGCACCGCAAAGAAGACCCAACGCAGUCAAAAAUAAAUUAAUUUUAAAAAAAGAAAAAAAAGAUCAACAUGGACUUCCCUGGCGGUCCAGUGGUUAAGACUUUGACUUUCAGCGACUUCCCUGGUGGCACAGUGGUUAAGACUCUGCACUCCCAAUGCAGGGGGCCCGGGUUUGAUCCCUGGUCAGGGAACUAGAUCCCCCAUGCUGUAACUAAGGAGCCGGCAAGCUGCAACUAAGACCCGGCACAACAAUGACGACAACAACAAAAACUUCGUCUUCCAGUGCAGGGGGUGUGGUUUUGAUCCCUGGACAUAUGGAGCUAUGCCUCUCAGCCAAAAAACCAAAACAUAAAACAGAAGCAAUAUUGUAACAUAUUCAAUAAAGACUUUAAAAAUGC